ensembl:ncRNA lncRNA:CR46243 long non-coding RNA:CR46243
UGGUUUCAGUGGUGCUAUUACUCUGGGCAGGUGCUGGCGAUCCGGACUGGUUGCGGAUCGCUUUGAUUGUUUGGACAUUUCCAUACACUGGUCAUGCGCCAUCGAUUGCCAGUUCUUACACAGGAAAAAAAAGCACAGACAUUUGCCACUGCGAUCUCAAUAAAACAAUGGCUGCGAACCGGAAUGGACCAGUGGGCCACGCUCCACACUCAAUUGAUCAACUGCCGCUUUGAAUAUAGAUUGGAUUGGCUUAAUAUU